rfam:Camelus ferus unplaced genomic scaffold scaffold1035, whole genome shotgun sequence.
GAGGCUGUAGCUCAGUGGUAGAGCACAUGUUUAGCAUGUACAAGGUCCUGGAUUCAAUCCCCAGUACCUCCA